CCCUCUUGGUUGGUAAUAUGAUAGUUGUCGCUUGUUAUUGUCGCAUGCGACGGUAUUUAUGUUUCUUAUGUUUACAUAAUCAUUUACGUUGUUUCUGCAGGAUUACUUAUGCUUUGUUUUGUUAUUGUGUUUUGUCUUGUCUUGGUUCCUAACUUUACAUUUGUUUUCCAAUGCAGCUUUUCAUUCUGUCCUAUGCGCCGAGGGUCGCUUGGAAGCAGCCUNNN
rnacentral:lncRNA from 1 species